UAUACCCUUUGGACUAACCCAAAUAAAAAUGUUUCACCAGACAUCUUCGUCUCUCGACUCCCUACCAAACAGUGACGUAGCCGAGGGGAGUUGACUAAAGGGACUUUAAUAGCCAGUGGCGUUGUAUUUAGAAAAUGGUUUAUGAGACUUACACCUCCCAGAAGCACACAACUUCUCUAAUAUUAGUGGCUUUUGUAUGAUUUAAGUUAUCAUAGCCAUCUGAAUUGUAUAAAUACAACCCUCCUCACCAAAACAAAUUAAAUAAAAACAAAUAAGUCUUAAAUACACUGUUGUCUACAGACAAGGACGCGGAUCGGGACUUUAGACCGGCCUGAGAAAAUUAAUAUGUAGCCGCGCA